GAGGAUGGCUGAGCUGUCUAAGGCACUGCGUUCAGGUUGCAGUCUCCUCUGGAGGCGUGGGUUUGAAUCCCAUUCCUGACA
rnacentral:tRNA from 1 species